AGAUUAAUACUAAGAAUAGACUAUUAACUAUGUUUACAUAAUCAGCAUCUUCACAAUUUCAAAGAAAUCUUAUCUAACAUUCCCAUUUCCUAGAUAACACCACUAAACACAUUAGAUGUUGAAUACCAUUCACAUUCUGAUCUUCUUUCAGUCUGCAAUGGUGUAAUAGUGACAAUGGAAAGGAUGUCAUGGAUUUUGCACCCUGUGUGAAUAUAUUCACUACACCCAGAUAUUAUUCAUUACUCUGAAAUCCUGAUAACUUGUGAUGUAAAAGAAAACCGUGAUAAGGAAAUAAAUUACUUGGAAUGUGCAUUUGAAUUUCUGUCAGGCCUUAAGUGAUGUGCCUCCUCAUCCUCUAUGGUGUACCCUUGUAUAUUGUAUAGAAUUGUGCGUUGCUCAGAUUAUUAGGUUAUAAUUAUAUGUUGUAUAUAUGUUCUCACAAUGAUCACUUACAUGUACAGUUCUGACAGAUACCAAGUAACAUUUUAAAAAUAGAAGUCGUGUCUAAAGACAGAAUUGAAUAGCAACUCAACAAAACAUUAACACAUUAAUUAUGACAUAAAUGGCAUAGUGCAAAGUUAAAGUGAAGGGGGGGGCAUAAUCUAGCCGCCAAUCUCCAAAUUAGAGAGCCUGUUACAACCUUUUACUCCCACCACUUUUUUUCAUAAUAAAGAAGUUCAAAUCUAUCGAUUGAAACAUUAA